UCUAACCGCAGAACCAGUCGUACAAAUCUCUUAAAACCGCUAGAAACCGCAACCACCCGCAUCCGCAAACUCCCGCAACCGCAACCGCAACCGCUGCGGUUAAACCAGUCAGGCCCUAAGUCUAAUAAACGUAAAUAGAAUACUACAUCCUAUAUAAGAAUGACCGUUUAGGGCAUAUCGACAUCGAUUGUGACCAAAAAAAUAUUUUUACCAGGUUAAAGCUUAUUUUUUUGUCAAGUUAAAGAUAAUUUCUUAUAUUUUUUUUUUUUUUGAUAACUCUGGUAUCUGGACAGCCAUGUUCUCAACUAUCCCCUGAAAGAGGUCCAGCGCCCCAACAGAACGGAUGUUAAAUCCGUUGUAGCCAAGACUCGAACCUGGGUGGCGGACAGUACAGCUGUACCUCCUUUACCACCAAGCUACGAACGCUUGGUUAAUUUUUUUUUUUGCACAAUUGGUACUCUAUGAAAAAGGAAUCCCUAUUUUUGUAUAGAAUCAUUAAUAAUUUUUUUGGUCAACCAGUAGAUUAAAUUUCUGAAUUUGUAGAUAUUAAAAUUAAUUACAUGUAUCUGAUACUGAUUUUACCUAACUAGUUCCACGAUCACGAAAACAGUCUUAGGUUUUGGUAUAAAAAGUGACUAACAAGGUAGGAUGGAUA
rnacentral:lncRNA from 1 species